AGUGAACGCUGGCGGUAGGCCUAACACAUGCAAGUCGAACGGCAGCACAGUAAGAGCUUGCUCUUACGGGUGGCGAGUGGCGGACGGGUGAGGAAUACAUCGGAAUCUACUUUUUCGUGGGGGAUAACGUAGGGAAACUUACGCUAAUACCGCAUACGACCUACGGGUGAAAGCAGGGGAUCUUCGGACCUUGCGCGAUUGAAUGAGCCGAUGUCGGAUUAGCUAGUUGGCGGGGUAAAGGCCCACCAAGGCGACGAUCCGUAGCUGGUCUGAGAGGAUGAUCAGCCACACUGGAACUGAGACACGGUCCAGACUCCUACGGGAGGCAGCAGUGGGGAAUAUUGGACAAUGGGCGCAAGCCUGAUCCAGCCAUACCGCGUGGGUGAAGAAGGCCUUCGAGUUGUAAAGCCCUUUUGUUGGGAAAGGAAAGCAGCAGGUUAAUACCCCGCUGUUCUGACGGUACCCAAAGAAUAAGCACCGGCUAACUUCGUG
rnacentral:rRNA from 1 species